rnacentral:rRNA from 1 species
AACGAACGCUGGCGGCAGGCUUAACACAUGCAAGUCGAGCGCCCCGCAAGGGGAGCGGCAGACGGGUGAGUAAAGCGUGGGAAUCUACCUUUUGCUACGGAAUAACGCAGGGAAACUUGUGCGAAUACCGUAUGUGCUCUUCGGGGGAAAGAUUUAUCGGCAAAGGAUGAGCCCGCGUUGGAUUAGCUAGUUGGUGGGGUAAAAGCCUACCAAGGCGACGAUCUAUAGCUGGUCUGAGAGGAUGAUCAGCCACAUUGGGACUGAGACACGGCCCAAACUCCUACGGGAGGCAGCAGUGGGGAAUAUUGGACAAUGGGCGCAAGCCUGAUCCAGCCAUGCCGCGUGAGUGAUGAAGGCCUUAGGGUUGUAAAGCUCUUUCACCGGUGAAGAUAAUGACGGUAACCGGAGAAGAAGCCCCGGCUAACUUCGUGCCAGCAGCCGCCGUAA